AAGUCCAGCGUCCACUGAAUGACGUCUUCAUGUGAGAAGAGCUGUUUGUGUUGUUUUGUGGAUAUCAGGUGUGGACCUCAAACACAUCAGUUGUGUUCACUGCCAUGUGUUUGCUAACAGUCGGCUAAAGAUUCUCUCCACUGAGUUCACAAUGCUGCUGGUGGAGAGAUGGUGUGUCAUCAGUCUGUGGUUUAAAAACUAUGGACCUCUAAACAAGAGAUAUCUUUCAUCCUUGAUCCCCGGCGCUGCGGUCAGGUAAAAAUCCCUCAACGCCACUGCUGCAAAACCAUCUGUCCAGGAGGAGAGUAAUCAGUGUCAGGUGAAAUAACAUGGAUGGACCAUGAAUCAGUGGAAAACGUCUAAUGUUGAUUACAAAUCUGUGUUGGAAAUCUGAAGCAAUGCCUUGGACGGCUCUCGUGAAGACAGCCUUGAAGUCGGUUCAUAGAAAGCGCUGUUUUCAGGAUUUGUAUUCAAAUGUGCAACUGUAUUCACUGAUGUGACUUGGGUUUUAAUAUUUCAGAAGAUUUUUGUCAGCAUGGCAGUGAAAA